CCUACGGGAGGCAGCAGUGGGGAAUAUUGGACAAUGGGCGCAAGCCUGAUCCAGCCAUGCCCGCGUGUGUGAAGAAGGCCCUCGGGUUGUAAAGCACUUUCAGCGAGGAAGAACGCCUAGCGGUUAAUACCCGCUAGGAAAGACAUCACUCGCAGAAGAAGCACCGGCUAACUCCGUGCCAGCAGCCGCGGUAAUACGGAGGGUGCAAGCGUUAAUCGGAAUUACUGGGCGUAAAGCGCGCGUAGGUGGCUUGAUAAGCCGGUUGUGAAAGCCCCGGGCUCAACCUGGGAACGGCAUCCGGAACUGUCAAGUUAGAGUGCAGGAGAGGAAGGUAGAAUUCCCGGUGUAGCGGUGAAAUGCGUAGAGAUCGGGAGGAAUACCAGUGGCGAAGGCGGCCUUCUGGACUGACACUGACACUGAGGUGCGAAAGCGUGGGUAGCAAACAGGAUUAGAUACCCUGGUAGUCCACGCCGUAAACGAUGUCGACCAGCCGUUGGGUGCCUAGCGCACUUUGUGGCGAAGUUAACGCGAUAAGUCGACCGCCUGGGGAGUACGGCCGCAAGGUUAAAACUCAAAUGAAAUUGACGGAU
rnacentral:rRNA from 1 species